GAUUGACCAAAUCAUUUUAUUUGGGUUUAUUUUGCAAUUGACAAAAUAUGAAGGUUGAAUUGGAUAUAUUUAAAAGUUUGAAAUUUAUAUAUACACUUUUGGAAGUUUAAGGAUUAAAGGUUACUAAAAAGUAAAGUUAAGGGACUUAAUUUGCAAUUAUGGGAUUGUGGACAAAUUAAUUCAACCUUUGACCCAUUUUUUUUCUCAUUUUCACACCAAAACACACACACACACUACGAGAAGCAGAACCGGCCGAGAAAGAAGAGAAAAAGAGGAAAAGAAAAAGGGAAAAAAGGAAAAGAAAAAGGAAGAAGAAGGGGAAAAAGAAAAGGAAAGGAGGUGGUGACGAGGAAGUUGGAAGAGCAUAUCGACCAGUUUAGGUUCAGCUUGUGUUAUAUAGAAGCUGCGUUGAGCCAUAUCAGAGCCUGUUGUUCGACGAGUUGAGCUUCAUCGUGUCCUUAUUUGUAUGUCUCAUUUUGUUAAUUCAUACAACAUAUAUUUUGGGGGUUAAUGUAUUUUGUAUCAAAAAUGUAUUAGGUCUCAUACCCAUUGCAUAUUUUGUGUAUGUUUUGAAAUGGUAAAUUUCUUUUUCAGUACAA